rnacentral:lncRNA from 10 species
AUGCCCUGGAAUACACUUGUGUCAGUGACAAAUGCUGCUUUGCUGUGCUACACCGAGUACAAGGUCGUGUCCAGUGAUUCAAGUUUGACACACCACACCACGGUGGAUGUGCCUUUCAUGACGCAUCUUCUCAGCAGCACUAGAAGAUACAUCCAAAGUCCUGUGAGCAAGGUCUGUGGUAUCUGUUUAUUAUGGCAGCCCAGUGAGACUAAGACAGGCCAUCAAAAGACGUGAACGUUUUGGACCUUCUCUUGGGCCCUAGUAAACAGAAAUCAGGCUACUUAUUAAACUAAACCACGUUCUGAACUGUUACUGCUACUGGAAACCAGUCCCGAUCCAGACCCCAAAAGAGGAUUCUUGGAUCUUGCACAAGAAAGAAAGGACACAGUGAAGGAGUGAGAUGUGAAGGUGCUCUGUCAUUGCCUCAGUCAAGACUUUCAUGGUACAUUGGAAGAAAGAGAAGCGUGAACAAAUUGCAUGAUACUUGAGGUCAUGCUGUGUACCUGUAUUGAACAAGAAUAAGGGAAGAAAGCUGGGAACCUGGAUCUCCCAUAUAUUGGAAGUUUUGUAAAAACCUUGAGGGUCCCUUCCACUACAUAUGGGGAUUAUGGGAACUGCAAUUCAAGAUGAGAUUUGAGUGAGGACACAGCCAAACCACAUGGUUUUAGAACAUUGACGAAGAGAGAAGACAACCCACUUUGCCAUAUAUGCCCAUGAAGAUCUGGCAAGAGUUAGCAUGCAGGUCUACAUUGUGACAAUCCAUGAGAGCUAAGGACUGGCUGUCUCUUGGGACAAAUAGGCUUUCUUGAGUCUGGAUGUCCGCUCUGCUUGUCUUACCGCAUGAGAGAGUGCAGAUGUUCCUGAAAGCAUCUUUGCGUGGAUUUGCUUGAAGCGAGAUGUGAGAGAAGGGGCAAAGCUCGAAGGGAGCUGCUAGAGAGAGAGGAAAGCAGCUGGACAGGGCUUUCCUGAUGACUGAAAUCUUAUUGUGGAUAAUGGAGAUCAGGUCCUGUGGUGGUGGAUCUAAUGGAAGGAUCCUAGGUCUCUGAAUCACAACGUGGAAGAAAAUCAGUCACCACCCCUAGCUGGAACACCAACAUUUCAAAUAAGUGAAAAAUAAACUCUUAUUAUGUCAAGCCACUGCAAUUUUGGGGUUUGUCUUAGUGUUAGUGUCACCUACAUUUAUGCAAUA